UGUGUGCAUGCACUUAUUGUCAUAGACAUAUAUAGUAAGAGUAGCUUUCAGUACUUUGAUUAGCUGUUAAUCUCUUUGGGGUGGAUUAAAAUGAUUGGUUGUAAUCAUCCAUGUUUACAAGACAAGGAAGUAUAAAAAGGGAGAAAUAUUUUUGACUUCAAGCUGAGACUUAAACUUUGGUUGGUACUGAUCCUCUCCAGACUGACGCAGCAACAUUUGCAGUACAGAGGCUGGCUGAUCUGAACAGACAAGAUGCGUGUCGUUCUCCUGAUCACCAUCACAUUCACUCUAGCCCUUGCUCAUGGGUACAAUCGGCGUCCCUGUCAGACAAAUGGGAACAAUAAUGCAUACAACCAAUUUGUUCAAAAACACAUCCUUCAGGAGAACUUUGACAGACGGUCAGAGUCUGCAUGGAGAACGUACUUACGGAAGAAAGGACUGUGUGACAGACCAUUCCCGAUCCAGUCUUUCAUGGAGGAUCAGACAAUGGUCGAGAAUAUCUGUAAUGGCAACGGCAAACAACUGGGACAAAGUAACCUAUGCAUGAGUGACUCAACCAUGCUGGUAUAUGAUGUCAAAGUCAGCCAGAAUGGGGAUUGCAAUGUUGAAGAACUGUCCAAAAAGCAAAAAAAAGUGAUUGUGGCUUGUGAUAACGUUGCUAACCGCUGCCUCCCGGUUCAUUUCGAGAGGUACACUAACCAAAGUCCAGACCAAAAUGCUCAACCCUGCCAACCUCAAGUUUAGACUAUACCAAGUUUUGAAGGAUACACAGACGUUCCCGUUUCCAGGCUCAUUUCUGCCUGACAUCUAAAACCUCUCUGUCAAGCUUAGCUAAACAAAACCGUUUGUGCUUAAAAAGGGAAAGAUUUUUUGAAGUGGGGGUCGUAUGAGGCACUUAUUACCUACAGUAGACAGAUCUGCCAACUGCUACCUGCCAUGAUUAAAAUAAUGUGCCAUGCAUGAAAGGAAAAAUUUUAUUUGUAUUUAUAACAGUGUGGUAGGAUGGAUGUCAAUAUUUACCCAGGUUCAGCUCUUAAAAUAUAAUAAACAUACUUUCCAGUGUUUUUCCAACAUUAAAAUGUUUCAGAUAAAGCUACUUUACAACCUCUUACAACUGUUUCUUUAAUUGUCACCUUCAACCUGUCAAGGUUGGUAGAUUGUCUAUAUUAAACUGCCAUUUUCCAUGAUGAGUCCAAUUCAUACUGUUUUCCCUGUAAUCCUGUUAUAGUCAAACUAAUCUUCCCCUCAUGUAUAUCCUGUUGUAAAAUCCUGUCUAUUUUGCUUUGCAUAUUUCAAAUAAAUACAUUUAACCAAUAAAAA